UACGUAGGGUGCGAGCGUUGUCCGGAAUUAUUGGGCGUAAAGAGCUUGUAGGCGGUUUGUCGCGUCUGCUGUGAAAAUCCGGGGCUUAACCCCGGACCUGCAGUGGGUACGGGCAGACUAGAGUGUGGUAGGGGAGACUGGAAUUCCUGGUGUAGCGGUGAAAUGCGCAGAUAUCAGGAGGAACACCGAUGGCGAAGGCAGCUCGCUGGGACGGUACUGACGCUGAGGCGCGAAAGCGUGGGGAGCAAACAGG
rnacentral:rRNA from 1 species